GGGGCCGUCGUCCAACAGGAAGACGCCCGCUUCGCACGCGGGAAAUCGGGGUGCAACUCCCCGCGGGUCCA
rnacentral:tRNA from 1 species